rnacentral:rRNA from 1 species
AGUGAACGCUGGCGGCAGGCCUAACACAUGCAAGUCGAACGGCAGCACAGCAGUAGCAAUACUGUGGGUGGCGAGUGGCGGACGGGUGAGGAAUACAUCGGAAUCUGCCCGGUCGUGGGGGAUAACAUAGGGAAACUUAUGCUAAUACCGCAUACGACCUACGGGUGAAAGCGGGGGAUCGCAAGACCUCGCGCGAUUGGAUGAGCCGAUGUCCGAUUAGCUAGUUGGCGGGGUAAUGGCCCACCAAGGCGACGAUCGGUAGCUGGUCUGAGAGGAUGAUCAGCCACACUGGAACUGAGACACGGUCCAGACUCCUACGGGAGGCAGCAGUGGGGAAUAUUGGACAAUGGGCGCAAGCCUGAUCCAGCCAUGCCGCGUGGGUGAAGAAGGC